GAUCAUGGCAGUCUUUCCUUCUCUUCCGUUGGCUAUUAAAUGGCUCAGGGACAGCGUCUAUCAAAAUCGAUCUGUUCGCAUUCAGGUCCUUGUUACUGGCUCAUUACAUCUUGUGGGUGACGUGCUGAGAUUAGUCAAAUAGUGAGACAUGGGGCCUAGUUGAAGCUGUCCAGUUGCAUGCUUGGGAUAUAGAAGGCAAGCUGGUUAUAAAAGAUUUUGAUCAUUCUCUGGCAGCGCUUGUCAAUUGUGCUCCCACAAAUGUGAUAUGCUGUUGAUUUUCUGUGUUGUGUAUUUGAGGAGCUGUUUAAACUUCAGUGAAUUUUGACAAUGAAUUGGCAGAAACUUUAAAAUUUUUGUCUUUAUUUUAUCUGUAACCAGGCCAUUGGGGAAACAGGAACAAUUCUUGUAAUGAACUACAAAUCACUUCCAAGGCAGAAUUCUUGUUCUUCCCUUUCUGAAAAUCAUGUAACAAACUCAUUGUUUAAUAUAAUAAAUUUGUUCUUGGGUAUGAA